rnacentral:rRNA from 1 species
UAGUUGGAUCUCUGGGAGGGUGCCGCCGUCCGGCGUGUCCGUGUGCAGUGGCGCCCUUCCAUCCUUCUGUUAGCGUCUCUUGGCAUUCAUUUGCUGGUGGCGGGCUCAGAUAUUUUACCUUGAGAAAAUUAGAGUGUUUCAGGCAGGCUAGGCCGGAAUACAUUAGCAUGGAAUAAUGGAAUAGGACUACGGUCUCUUUGUUGGUUUGAGGGACUGCAGUAAUGAUUAAUAGGGAUAGUUGGGGGCAUUAGUAUUUAAUUGUCAGAGGUGGAAUUCUUAGAUUUGUUAAAGACUAACUUAUGCGAAAGCAUUUGCCAAGGAUGUUUUCAUUAAUCAAGAACGAAAGUUAGAGGAUCGAAGACGAUCAGAUACCGUCCUAGUUCCAACCAUAAACGAUGUCGACUAGGGAUCAGCGGGCGUUAUCGUACGACCCCGUUGGCACCUUACGGGAA